UACGGAGGAUGCGAGCGUUAUCCGGAUUUAUUGGGUUUAAUGGGUGCGUAGGCGGACGCUUAAGUCAGCGGUAAAAUUGCGGGGCUCAACCUCGUCGAGCCGUUGAAACUGGGUGCCUUGAGUGGGCGAGAAGUACGCGGAAUGCGUGGUGUAGCGGUGAAAUGCAUAGAUAUCACGCAGAACUCCGAUUGCGAAGGCAGCGUACCGGCGCCCUACUGACGCUGAAGCACGAAGGCGUGGGUAUCGAACAGG
rnacentral:rRNA from 1 species